GUGGUGUGGUGGUGCACACCUGUAGUCUCAGCUAGUCGGGGUGCUGAGGCAGGAGGAUUCUUGAGCCCUGGAGUCCUAGGCUGCGGUGUGUAAUGUCCAUCAGGAGGUGUCUGCACUAAAUUGAGCAUCAGUAUGGUGAUGCUCCCAGGAGGGAGAGGGGGCUACCAGGUUGCCCAAGGAGGGAUGAACCAGCCGGUUGGAAAUAGAGCAUCUCAAAACUCCAGUGACAAUCAGUAAUGAGGCUGCACCUGAGAACAGCCACUGUGGUCCAGCCUGGGCAACACGGAGAGACCACAUCUCUU
ensembl:misc_RNA Metazoa_SRP Metazoan signal recognition particle RNA